GAUGAACGCUGGCGGCGUGCCUAAUACAUGCAAGUCGAGCGAACGGACGAGAAGCUUGCUUUUCUGAUGUUAGCGGCGGACGGGUGAGUAACACGUGGAUAACCUACCUAUAAGACUGGGAUAACUUCGGGAAACCGGAGCUAAUACCGGAUAAUAUUUUGAACCGCAUGGUUCAAAAGUGAAAGACGGUCUUGCUGUCACUUAUAGAUGGAUCCGCGCUGCAUUAGCUAGUUGGUAAGUGAACGGCUUACCAAGGCAACGAUGCAUAGCCGACCUGAGAGGGUGAUCGGCCACACUGGAACUGAGGCACGGUCCAGACUCCUACGGGAGGCAGCAGUGGGGAAUCUUCCGCAAUGGGCGAAAGCCUGACGGGGCAACGCCGCGUGAGUGAUGAAGGUCUUCGGAUCGUAAAACUCUGUUAUUAGGGAAGAACAUAUGUGUAAGUAACUGUGCACAUCUUGACGGUACCUGAUCAGAAAGCCACGGCUAACUACGUG
rnacentral:rRNA from 1 species